rnacentral:rRNA from 1 species
GAUGAACGCUGGCGGCGUGCCUAAUACAUGCAAGUCGAGCGAACGGACGAGAAGCUUGCUUCUCUGAUGUUAGCGGCGGACGGGUGAGUAACACGUGGAUAACCUACCUAUAAGACUGGGAUAACUUCGGGAAACCGGAGCUAAUACCGGAUAAUAUUUUGAACCGCAUGGUUCAAAAGUGAAAGACGGUCUUGCUGUCACUUAUAGAUGGAUCCGCGCUGCAUUAGCUAGUUGGUAAGGUAACGGCUUACCAAGGCAACGAUGCAUAGCCGACCUGAGAGGGUGAUCGGCCACACUGGAACUGAGACACGGUCCAGACUCCUACGGGAGGCAGCAGUAGGGAAUCUUCCGCAAUGGGCGAAAGCCCGACGGAGCAACGCCGCGUGAGUGAUGAAGGUCUUCGGAUCGUAAAACUCUGUUAUUAGGGAAGAACAUAUGUGUAAGUAACUGUGCACAUCUUGACGGUACCUAAUCAGAAAGCCACGGCUAACUACGUGCCAGCAGCCGCGGUAAUACGUAGGUGGCAAGCGUUAUCCGGAAUUAUUGGGCGUAAAGCGCGCGUAGGCGGUUUUUUGAGUCUGAUGUGAAAGCCCACGGCUCAACCGUGGAGGGUCAUUGGAAACUGGAAAACUUGAGUGCAGAAGAGGAAAGUGGAAUUCCAUGUGUAGCGGUGAAAUGCGCAGAGAUAUGGAGGAACACCAGUGGCGAAGGCGACUUUCUGGUCUGUAACUGACGCUGAUGUGCGAAAGCGUGGGGAUCAAACAGGAUUAGAUACCCUGGUAGUCCACGCCGUAAACGAUGAGUGCUAAGUGUUAGGGGGUUUCCGCCCCUUAGUGCUGCAGCUAACGCAUUAAGCACUCCGCCUGGGGAGUACGACCGCAAGGUUGAAACUCAGAGGAAUCGACGGGGACCCGCACAAGCGGUGGAGCAUGUGGUUUAAUUCGAAGCAACGCGAAGAACCUUACCAAAUCUUGACAUCCUUUGACAACUCUAGAGAUAGAGCCUUCCUCUUCGGGGGACAAAGUGACAGGUGGUGCAUGGUUGUCGUCAGCUCGUGUCGUGAGAUGUUGGGUUAAGUCCCGCAACGAGCGCAACCCUUAAGCUUAGUUGCCAUCAUUAAGUUGGGCACUCUAAGUUGACUGCCGGUGACAAACCGGAGGAAGGUGGGGAUGACGUCAAAUCAUCAUGCCCCUUAUGAUUUGGGCUACACACGUGCUACAAUGGACAAUACAAAGGGCAGCGAAACCGCGAGGUCAAGCAAAUCCCAUAAAGUUGUUCUCAGUUCGGAUUGUAGUCUGCAACUCGACUACAUGAAGCUGGAAUCGCUAGUAAUCGUAGAUCAGCAUGCUACGGUGAAUACGUUCCCGGGUCU